AAAAUUCAUUCACAGGACAGUUCAUAAUAGGCUUAUGGAUAAUUUAGAACAAAGUCAGGCAAGGUAUACUCUGAUGCAUUUCAAAGACAGACAUUUCAACUUAAAACUAGUGGCACAUCAUACAUACUUUUUAUUUCCCAAUGCAUCCACUUGUUCACUUCAUGGUAACAAUUCUAUUAUCUACAGAUAAACUCUCAAUUUCUAAAAGCUAAUGACAUUCUCCGUCCAUUCCUACAACAAAGAGACAAACAUGAAGUUCUUACGUAGAAAAUGUGGCAUCAAUUUCAGAAAGCAUUCAAAAAGAACCAAUGUCAGAUAACAUUCAGAUAGUCAUCUCUCUUCUUAAUUUUUGUAAAUUCAAUCUUAACUACAAAAGCUCCUAUUGCUCUAAACUGCAUGCUAUCACAAUGAAGUAGAAGUGUAAUUUAAAAUAAUGAGAAUGCAAGACUUGCAUAUGUGCCAAAUAGUGGUUUGCCUUCUUAAGGUCCCCAUCGUUACACAGUUAUCUACAAGAUGACAGAACCCAGUUUGUUCAAAUUGUAUUGUGCUAGUUCAUAACAAUGAACUCCCUUUCUGAGAUUAGGAGAUGUUUCAUUAGUGACAACAGAAACACAUAAUAACUAAGGAGCUAAGUUUAGCAAAAGUUUCAAUUGCAAUUCAUAUGAUCAGAACACAAACCGACUCGAGUCCAAGGGGGGGGAGGAAAUAGAGUUUAUAUAUCACUAGUUCUAGAAACGUACCACGACGAGGGGCAGGCAGUGCCUCAAAUUCACCAUAGUCAUAG
rnacentral:misc_RNA from 1 species